rnacentral:rRNA from 1 species
UGGGGAAUAUUGGACAAUGGGCGCAAGCCUGAUCCAGCCAUGCCGCGUGAGUGAUGAAGGCCCUAGGGUUGUAAAGCUCUUUCACCGGUGAAGAUAAUGACGGUAACCGGAGAAGAAGCCCCGGCUAACUUCGUGCCAGCAGCCGCGGUAAUACGAAGGGGGCUAGCGUUGUUCGGAUUUACUGGGCGUAAAGCGCACGUAGGCGGACUUUUAAGUCAGGGGUGAAAUCCCGGGGCUCAACCCCGGAACUGCCUUUUAUACUGGAAGUCUUGAGUAUGGUAGAGGUGAGUGGAAUUCCGAGUGUAGAGGUGAAAUUCGUAGAUAUUCGGAGGAACACCAGUGGCGAAGGCGGCUCACUGGACCAUUACUGACGCUGAGGUGCGAAAGCGUGGGGAGCAAACAGG